rnacentral:rRNA from 1 species
UACGUAGGGUGCGAGCGUUAAUCGGAAUUACUGGGCGUAAAGCGUGCGCAGGCGGUUUGUUAAGACAGAUGUGAAAUCCCCGGGCUUAACCCUGGGAACUGCAUUUGUGACUGGCAAGCUAGAGUAUGGCAGAGGGGGUAGAAUUCCACGUGUAGCAGUGAAAUGCGUAGAGAUGUGGAGGAAUACCGAUGGCGAAGGCGAGCCCCUGG